rnacentral:rRNA from 1 species
UUGCUCCUACGGGGGGCAGCAGUCGAGAAUCAUUCACAAUGGGGGAAACCCUGAUGGUGCGACGCCGCGUGGGGGAAUGAAGGUCUUCGGAUUGUAAACCCCUGUCAUGUGGGAGCAAAUUAAAAAGAUAGUACCACAAGAGGAAGAGCCGGCUAACUCUGUGCCAGCAGCCGCGGAAAUACAGAGGUCUCAAGCGUUGUUCGGAAUCACUGGGCGUAAAGCGCGCGUAGGCUGUUUCGUAAGUCGUGUGUGAAAGGCGAGGGCGCAACAGGCGGACG